GCCUUCGUGGUGCAGUGGCCAGCACUCUUGGCGCGUAUUCGAGAGGUUCGCGGUUCGAGUCCCGCCGAGGGUA
rnacentral:tRNA from 1 species